CCAGCAGCCGCGGUAAUUCCAGCUCCAAUAGCGUAUAUUAAAGUUGUUGUGGUUAAAAAGCUCGUAGUUGAACCUUGGGCCUGGCUGGCCGGUCCGCCUCACCGCGUGCACUGGUCCGGCCGGGCCUUUCCCUCUGCGGAACCCCAUGCCCUUCACUGGGUGUGGCGGGGAAACAGGACUUUUACUUUGAAAAAAUUAGAGUGCUCAAGGCAGGCCUAUGCUCGAAUACAUUAGCAUGGAAUAAUAGAAUAGGACGUGUGGUUCUAUUUUGUUGGUUUCUAGGACCGCCGUAAUGAUUAAUAGGGACAGUCGGGGGCAUCAGUAUUCAAUUGUCAGAGGUGAAAUUCUUGGAUUUAUUGAAGACUAACUACUGCGAAAGCAUUUGCCAAGGAUGUUUUCAUUAAUCAGGAACGAAAGUUAGGGGAUCGAAGACGAUCAGAUACCGUCGUAGUCUUAACCAUAAACUAUGCCGACUAGGGAUCGGACGAUGUUACAUUUUUGACGCGUUCGGCACCUUACGAGAAAUCAAAGUGCUUGGGCUCCAGGGGGAGUAUGGUCGCAAGGCUGAAACUUAAAGAAAUUGACGGAAGGGCACCACCAGGGGUGGAGCCUGCGGCUUAAUUUGACUCAACACGGGGAAACUCACCAGGUCCAGACACAAUGAGGAUUGACAGAUUGAGAGCUCUUUCUUGAUUUUGUGGGUGGUGGUGCAUGGCCGUUCUUAGUUGGUGGAGUGAUUUGUCUGCUUAAUUGCGAUAACGAACGAGACCUUAACCUGCUAAAUAGCCCGUAUUGCUUUGGCAGUACGCCGGCUUCUUAGAGGGACUAUCGGCUCAAGCCGAUGGAAGUUUGAGGCAAUAACAGGUCAGUGAGGCCC
rnacentral:rRNA from 1 species